rfam:Schistosoma margrebowiei strain Zambia genome assembly, scaffold: SMRZ_contig0000549
GUACUGCUGAGGAGUCCCACAAUAGGACGAAACGGCCGUCCAGUAC